GAUGAACGCUAGCGGCGGGCUUAAUACAUGCAAGUCGAGGGGCAGCACGAUGUAGCAAUACAUUGGUGGCGACCGGCGGACGGGUGCGUAACACGUAUGCAACUUGCCCUAUACUGAGGGAUAGCCCGAAGAAAUUCGGAUUAAUACCCCAUAACAUCAGGAUAAGCAUUUAUCUUGGUUCAAAACUCCGGUGGUAGAGGAUGGGCAUGCGGUCGAUUAGCUUGUUGGUGAGGUAACGGCUCACCAAGGCGACGAUCGAUAGGGGGCCUGAGAGGGUGAUCCCCCACACUGGUACUGAGACACGGACCAGACUCCUACGGGAGGCAGCAGUAAGGAAUAUUGGUCAAUGGGCGAAAGCCUGAACCAGCCACGCCGCGUGAAGGAAGACGGCCCUACGGGUUGUAAACUUCAUUUCUACGGGAAUAAACCUCAGGACGUGUCCUGAGCUGAAGGUACCGUAGGAAUAAGGAUCGGCUAACUCCGUGCCAGCCGCCGCCGUAAGAC
rnacentral:rRNA from 1 species